rnacentral:lncRNA from 1 species
CGCGCGCGAGAGAGAGAGAGAGAGAGGGAGAGAGAGAACAGAGAGAGAGGGAGGGAGAGAGAGUAUACAGAGAGAGGGGGAGAGAGAGAACAGAGGGAGAGAGAGUGCGAGCAGAGAGAGGGAGAGAGAGAGAGCGCGUGCGGGGGGUGCGGGCCUCCCGCANUAAAUAUAUAACUUUUAUAUAUUAUUAAUAUAUGCUUAUUAUAAUUUUAAAUAUAUUUAACCUAUAUAUAAAAAUUAUAAUAAUAAUAUAUAUAGUAUAUUAAUUAUUAUAUAUUUAUUAUAUAGCCGAAUUUUUUAUCUCGAAUUUUUAAUUGGUGAACGUAUAAUAUCCGUAUAAAUCACGUAUCCGAAUAAUUACCGAAUCCGUUUCUUAGCCGUAUUUUUCAACAAAUUUAAAAAUUAAAAGACGAAUUUUAUCCGAAUUAUACCCGUAUCGAAUUUUUGUCGAAUCCAAAUUAACUUACUAUAGUUGAGAGAUCAAUUUCAAUAGGACUUGUAAAUGAAGGAUCUCUGUAUAUUUUCAUCCUAGUGAAAACCAUAGUCUCUUUGUUUACUUAUUUUUUUUUUAUUUUACUCUUUUAUUUUGAUUCUAGCUGUUUACUACUUGAAUCUUUCUUUUGAGCGAAUUUUAUUAGACUGGCUGCAACUAAUUAGAACGUGGAUUUCUUUUAUAGUAAUAGGUUUAUAAUUUGUCAAUAAACUGUUUAAUAAAAUUUAUAAAACAUAUAUGCAUACGGAUACCCAUACCCGAUCUAGACCCGAUCCGUACCCGAUCCAUAUCCGGUUUUAAGCGGGUAGUAUACGGGUAGUCACUACCCAGACCUACUCAAAUAGACUUGGUGGGUAUAUUAUUAACUUAGGAAUCCAGAACCGAA